GGCUCCAUAGCUCAGUUGGUUAGAGCGCCAGUCUAGUAAACUGGAGGUCACGAGUUCGAAUCUCGUUGGAGCCU
rfam:Soboliphyme baturini genome assembly, scaffold: SBAD_scaffold0011795